GGUCAAACUAAAGGCGAGGGAAUGGGGAGGCCGGAGGAGCCGCCGCCGCCGCGCGCCAUGACGGACACGGUCGAGGCGGCUUUCUCUCCGCGGACGCCGCCGAGCCGUUGCUCUCGUCGCGCCCCCUGCCCCCGCCCCCCCUCGUGUCCGUUCUUCCCCGCGCCCCCUCCCCCCUGGCGCUCGCGCGGCCACGUGCGCCCUCCACCCCCCGGCGCCUCGGGCGCGCGUCGGGCCUGGGGCGCGCGCUGGCGGGGAGCGGGUGUCGGAGGGUGGGGGCCGCGGCGGCCGGGCUGGCGGCCUGCUCGCGCGACCCCCGACCCCCGCGGCCGGAGCCCGCCAGAACCAGCAUGCUUUGGCUAGGGCCGGUCCCAGGACGACGGAGCCUUCAGACUGGGUCCCAGGAUGUCGGAGCCUCGCUGAAGCUGAUUCACAGUAGACGUUUAUUAACACAUCCACAUUCUGUAUAAGUAAGAAACAAAACCACCACCACAAAACCAAAAUUACUUAACAAAUGCACGUCAUUCUGGCUGCGUGGGAGGGGCUGUACCCUUGGCUCAGUCCAGAGUUAGGAUCCACAUUUGAUGCUCCUCCUGGGGAAGACGCUUCAUGUUAGGAGACAUUCACAACUAACAAGCAGUGUGAGCUGAAGGCGUGGAGACCUGUUCUCGAAAGGUGAGUGCUAGCGUUCUCAUUACGUGGUACUUGUUCACUGAGCUAGUUUUUCAGUAUUUUCUUUAUUAAAUGGGGGCUGUUCUGUUAUUUUUUCAGAUGUAAAACAUAUCUCAGUGAGUUUCACAUAGUCAUUUGAAACUUGUCAAGUGCUUACAUUACUUUCUAAUUUAUAAUACUUCAAGGAAAAUAUCACAGUGCAUUAGGGAAGCACCAUAUAAUCUAAACGUAGUUUUAUGAAAUGUAUUUUUCAAAUUAAGCCUAUUUGGGAAUCCCUAUCAACUUACCUUUGAACCUCAGUGAAUUUUCUUUUCUAUUCUCCAAUAUAAAAAAAUGCUUGUGUGUUGUGUGCUUUAGGCUGUCAAAUGGCCUGUAAGUUAAAUUCCUAAUUCAAGUGUUUUUUAAUUCAUUGCUCUUUUUUCUUUUGCUAAAUGGUCAUGUGUUUAUAUCUUUAUAGUAUAUACUUUUCUGAUUAUAUUAUGGGGUCUUUGAUUAUGUGGGUUAUCAGCUUUGUCUCACUUUGUCACUUAGAAAAGUCUCUACAUUAAAUAAGUGAAAAUUGGAGUAUUUAUCUUAUUUUAAUGAAUACAAUUCUAAGUUAUACUGAGCUAACCCCCACCUUUAUAAGAAAAUACAUAUCUUGAUUUCUUUAAAAACUGUACAUAUAUCAGAAAUGUAAUAGAAAUUUAUUUUCUGAUGAACAUGUGCUUAUCAGUUUUAAAUGUUACAGAAUUUAGGUAAAUGUUAAAAUGUCCCCAUUUCUGUCAAUUGCCAUUUGUUAUUUAUUGGUUGAUAGAGAACAAUAUAAAGUUGGAUUUCUUGGAUAAUACUUGGAUAUGUUCUGAAAUGAAACAGUUUUCUGUCCUUUGAAGAUUUAAUAUCUCUUCCUUAUCAUAAUUUUGUAAGCCUUUGGCAUAAAUUAUCUAACUUCUCCCUGUUUUAUUAUAUCUUUCUCAUUUCAUUGAUUCCCAGUAGUCGAAUAUUAUGGUUCCAAACAAAUGUUGCCUACAGACUUCAGUAAUUAAAAAUGUCAGUUAAAAUGGGGGAUCUGUGAUAUAUGAGAACUUACCUUUUAGUUCUAUUUAUUUUAGUUUUUUAAAAAAGUGAUUCUAGCCCUCACUGG